GCCGAUAAAGGCAAACCCGGGGAAACCCGGGGGCGCAAAGCCAACAGACCUACGAUAUCACGAAACCGGGAAGGCCCUGUUGAGUCCUGUGGGACGGGGCAUAAAUAGACAUGAACCAGGGGACUAGAGAUAUUACGGUGGCUGGGUUGCCGAAG
rnacentral:ncRNA from 1 species